AAUGAACGCUGGCGGCGCGCCUAAUACAUGCAAGUCGAGCGAGAAGACGUAGCAAUACGUUUGUAAAGCGGCGAACGGGUGAGGAAUACAUGGGUAACCUACCCUCGAGUGGGGAAUAACUAGCCGAAAGGUUAGCUAAUACCGCGUACGCUUCUUGGACUUCGGUUCAGGGAGGAAAGCGAUACCGUGGGUAUCGCGCUCUUGGAUGGGCUCAUGUCCUAUCAGCUUGNGGUGAGGUAACGGCUCACCAAGGCUUCGACGGGUAGCUGGUCUGAGAGGACGAUCAGCCACACUGGCACUGCGACACGGGCCAGACUCCUACGGGAGGCAGCAGUAAGGAGUAUUGCGCAAUGGGCGAAAGCCUGACGCAGCGACGCCGC
rnacentral:rRNA from 1 species